rnacentral:rRNA from 1 species
UACGGGGGGAGCAAGCGUUGUUCGGAUUUACUGGGCGUAAAGGGCGCGUAGGCGGUCAGCACAAGUCAGUUGUGAAAUCUCCGGGCUUAACUCGGAAAGGUCAACUGAUACUGUGCGACUAGAGUGCAGAAGGGGCAACUGGAAUUCGUCGGUGUAGCGGUGAAAUGCGUAGAUAUCAAGCGGAACACCGGUGGCGAAGGCGGCCUUCGUGGACAGUGACUGACGCUGAGACGCGAAAGCGUGGGGAGCAAACAGG